AGACCCGACUGACGACAAUAAGUCCUUUAAAAGUCCAAUUGACGUAAUUGGUUUUGUCGUUAAGAGUUUUCCUUAUGAUCUAAAAGAGGAUACCAAAGACGGGAAACAAGAAAAGAAGCUAACAUUCAUGCUUCAGGAUUUAGAAGGGAAGCAAAUAUAUGUUACUCUUUGGGAUGCUUAUGCUGAACAGAUUUUGGAUUUUGAAAGGGACAACCAA